rnacentral:misc_RNA from 1 species
GAAAUGCGAUAAGUAGUGUGAAUUGCAGAAUUCAGUGAAUCAUCGAAUCUUUGAACGCACAUUGCGCCCUUUGGUAUUCCUUAGGGCAUGCCUGUUCGAGCGUCAUCUAAACCCUCAAGCCCUGCUUGGUGUUGGGUGCCUGUCCCGCCCCCGUGCGUGGACUCACCUCAAAUCCAUUGGCGUCCCUCGUGCCGGCCCCGAGCGCAGCAGAAACGCGGUCUCGUGGCCCGGCGGAGCGUGCCCCCAGAAGCAACAUUCACCGUUUUGACCUCGGAUCAGGUAGGGAUACCCGCUGAACUUAAGC